CACGCCGUAAACGGUGGGCGCUAGGUGUGGGGAAUAUUUUAACGUUCUCCGUGCCGUAGCUAACGCAUUAAGCGCCCCGCCUGGGGAGUACGGCCGCAAGGCUAAAACUCAAAGGAAUUG
rnacentral:rRNA from 1 species